UCUUAUGGAUGAGCAAAGAAAGUGGUUUCUUGGGAUGAAAUUUACUCCUAGUGAAAAUACUAUGAA
rnacentral:pre_miRNA from 1 species